AGAAGUAUCAAGAGGACUUGCAGCUCUCUUAUGAUUUCAUCUCAGCCACAGCAAACAGAUUUCUCCUGUGCAGCAGGCUCACCAAAGAAGACCACUGAGGAACACAUCCAGAUGGGUUCUGAAGGUGCACAGAGGAGGAGAGGGAAACGCUGCUUGUACGAGGGAGCGCAUCCCUGCUGGGUGCUCUGGCAGGCACUGAUCUACUAUUUUAAAACAGCAAAACGAAUUUCCACCUGGAAGGUUUGGACUGAGGUGCUUGAUGAAAGGG